ensembl:lncRNA
AUGUUAGUUGUCAGGGAGCGAUGCCCCCUCCUGAGACAUGUAAUGAAACUAGAUAGCCAGGGGCCUCGGGGAAAAAAAUGGGCUCUGUGUUUGGAGAUGUCAUUUGAUUACAAUGCUCUCGCCUUUUGCCGGGAGCAGCCUGUGUCUGGGCAUGGCAGGGAGCAAGGAGAGCAGGAGAGCAUGCGGGGAUGGAUGGAGAGAUGCAGGCAGGGAGCUGCGGUGCCCCAGCCCGGCCCGGCCGGGGACACCGAGCCGGCCGAGCCCGUUGUCCUGCAGGGGCCACCGGCCGGGCACGAAGCACAGAACUGUCCGGACUGUCCCCGGCACUCGGCGGACUGCGGGGCUCUCCCGUUCCCCGGCCCCGGGCACGGUUCUCCGGGCGCCGGGAAGCUGCACGGGGCCCUCAGGGCCGGCCCGGGCCGCGUCACCCUCCCAGGGGUGUCACCCUCCCAGGGGUGUCACCCUCCCAGGGGUGUCACCUUCCCAGCGUGUCACCCUCCCAGGGGUGUCACCCUCCCAGCGGGUCACCCUCCCAUGGGUGUCACCUUCCCAGCGUGUCACCCUCCCAGGGGUGUCACCCUCCCAGGGGUGUCACCUUCCCAGCGGGUCACCCUCCCAGGGUUGUCACCUUCCCAGCGUGUCACCUUCCCAGCGGGUCACCCUCCCAGGGUUGUCACCUUCCCAGCUGUCACCCUCCCAGGCCCAGCCCUGCCUCCGAGCCAGCCGAGCCCCGGGCACGCCAUUCCAGCGCGGGGCCCUCAGGCCGGGUCACCCUCCCGGGGCCGGCCCAGGCCUCGGUGGCACCCGCGAGUCCUGGGGAACCGAGCGGGCUCAUCCCGGGACAAGGAUGCUCCCACCAGCAGCACCUGCUCCGAAGCACUGCCGGGAUAUUCCACAUUCCACACGUUCUGGAUCACGUUCAGCACUAGUCGGGCUGGAUGGGAACAAAAAGCGCUACAAACUCUGCUUCAGAGGAAAUGUGUUCAUUGCCCUGAAGAAUGUGGGAAAACAUGCAGCCCUCUGAAGAUUCCCUUGUGCAGCUCUGGGACUGGUCUGGCUGGAUUUUCUGUUGCUUACUUUAUAAAUACAUGAAAGCUUGAUUUCAUGCCCACCCCACAUCCAUCUCUUGCAAUGCUCAGACUGCAGGCUCGGGACAGCUUCUUCCUCAUUUUGACUUCUGAUUUCUUCCUUUUGUUCCUCUGAUGAUGUGGCAGAGCAGAAGACAGCUUGGAAGUUCUAUUUUACAGUUAAAAGCAAUAUCCCACCAUAAAUUUAAUGUUUGUUAUUUUUGUUGUACUCUUCUGGAUCUUGUGAACAUGCUGAAAAUUUUUGAUGAAACAGAAACUUUUACAAUCCUCUCAAGAGAUUUGGAAUUUUAGCUGAUCUUCUUCCAUUGUCUGUUUCUGUUGACUGAACUGCAGUUGUUCUCAGUUUUUUCUUUUUUUGCUUUUUUCCUCUCUUUUUGAUGUAUUUCAAAACACACUUAGGCUGAAAUAUCCCACCCCACCCACACAGACAGCAAAAGUCUCUGCAAAUUCUUGAAUGGCUUUCACAUGUCCUGCCUAUUCAGGCCUGAUCUUAUAUUUUUAUAUACAUCAUAUUAAAGGGAGGAACAAUGUUUAUGUUUGAAGGAGCAGGAUUAUCUUUUCCCAAAAUCUCCAGUUAUCAAAGGAUGUUGAAUAAUGGCAAUUUAGACACUGGUUUAGCUACAGUGCUGUAGAUAAGCUACUUCUACGAGAUGUUUUCCUUUAUACAGCUGAAAAUAACGGUUGGAGGUCUUUCGAAAGAGCCUGGAUUCCUUAUUCUCAUUUUCUUUUAGUGCAACUGAAGUUCUUAGACCUCUUAAAGAGCUGUUGCUUUCCUUGCUGCUUCACACCCUCAUUUUCAGAGGGAAUGUGCUGAUAACCCAUCUCAGCAUUGUUAUGCCAUUUCUCAUGAUGAAUUCUCUGUGCUUCUGCUGGUACUGGAAGUGAUGGAAGAUUUAUGAGAUAAAGAAGAGGGACUGUGGGCCAGCAGGAAUAAAAUCAGACAGAGAGAGAGAACA